rnacentral:rRNA from 1 species
AUGCAUGACCACUCCCACCAGCUUCCUCCAACUGUUCCCGCCAUGCAUUGUUUAGCACCCAAACUCUUCCCGCCAUGCAUUGUUUACUCAACCAUACACAAAUCCAUAGAAACAGUGUCCAGGGAUCAACGUCUUCAAGCGUGGGUUCGGGUGGACCAUGGUCCUGCCCAACAUUCUCGCACCCAUCGAUCGAUCGAUCGAGAAGAAAAUAUGACCGAGAUGGAAGCCGCGGUACGCUGCCAUGUCUAUCAGCUAGACCUUGUGCAAUUCCUCUCGAAGCGUGGCAUAAUCGACCGCGGCCUGGUGAUUUCGUAUGCCACGGAGAACGACACGUACACGUAUAGGCUGUUCCGCCUCGACGGCACAAUGGUGACCAAGAAGGCUGAUGAAAUCCCCGUCCUCGAAAGAAGCUCCAUCCACGUCGGCCAGUUCGUGGUGUCGACGACGGACGCCGGUGGCCAAAUCGGCGUCGUCACCGGCGUCGCCACCGAUCUCCACGUCGCCCAGAUCGACGGCCGUGGGAAGGUGGGCAAGCAGAUCCUGGGAGUGUCGACGGCCGGCGUGCGGCGCGUCAGAGCGCUCAGCCUCGGCGACUACGUCUUGUCCGGGCCAUGGCUGGGCCGGGUGGUCGAGGUGUCUGUGGACGUCGACGUCUUGUUCGACGACGGCGCUGUGUGCAGGGUCACCGACGCGGGGCCCAAGGUGCUAAAGUCGGCGAGUAAUAAAAAGGUCCAUCACUUCCCCCAGACGAACGUCCCCUUCUACCCUGGGGGGCGUGUCACGAGCGGCUCCUUCGAAGGCUCGCGGUGGCUGAACGGCCACUGGAAGCCGGACCACAAAAUAGGCACGGUGGUCAACGUGGAGAUGGCCGGCGUCUCCGUUUACUGGAUCGCGUCGGCGCAACACGGCACCAAGCAACAACUCGUCCAGGAGUCAGCUCCUCCUACUCACCAGCACCCUAGCAGCCUGACCUAUUACUGCUCCGCGUCCGAUUGCCGCUGGGCGUUAGGCGACCGCUGCUUUCUUAACGACGAUGUCGAGCAGCACAACGCAAGUUCACUGCAGGCGCACUCGGCGCCGCUGCCCACCAUGACCGUUGCCAACCACAACACCACCGUCGACGUGCUGUGGCAGGACGGCACGCGGCAGUAUGGGGCUAGAUCAACGUACCUCCACCCCUAUGGGUACCCCUAUGAGUGA